ensembl:lncRNA
CUCUGGGUGUGGAGCAGCGCUCUGACACCAGAUAGUGAACGCAUGGGUCCUGGGCGGUGACUCUGGCAGAGCUGGCUAGUUCCUGGACUGACCUACAGUUGACCCCAGGCAGCCCUCAUGCCUCCAGCCACCUUUCUGGAAUGCCUGACCUGGCUUCUUCGUGGAAGUAGCGAGCGCGUCAGAAAAGAUGUUGUCUAAUAAAGCCAGAGAGGAUGGGGGAAGCUGUUGCAGCGGAGUUAUGUGCCUUUGGGAUAAAACCCUGGAUUAGAAUCACCUACCACACCCGCGGCGCUUCGUGCUGGACCUGUAAGGGGCGCCGAAGGAUGAAGCGCUGCAGGUUAUGAAAUUUGCCGUUACUCCUUUAAAAUCAAGCGCAAUCUUACUCUUCGAGAAGCGAACUCAAGGAGAAAUCUUUCCCCACCCCCUGUGAGGUUUUUUGUUUCCUUUCAUCAAACCAGACAUUUCUGAUUUUAAUUUUUUUAAUAAUCUGAAAUCCUUAACAUUUUUUUUUGGCCCCAGCGCCUUCUCAUCUUUGGAGCCACGAUGAACAAAGAUCUGGGGAAGAAGGAUUGUUUGGUUCUUGGAGCUGGACUGGGGUGUGCCUCCUGCCCAGGCCCCCGGAGAUGAGGUUGCCUCUCCCGUACUCUGUCAUCUUGGCUCAGUACACUUCAGCACAGCAUCCCCACAGAUUCUUUUCAGACUCUCAGAAGAAGCAUAGGAAUUGAGAGGGAAUCUGUGUCUGUGAACUGUCUACCCUUAACUUCUUGAGGGUCCCCGUGCCAUGCCUUCCUCUGUCCUAUACCAUUUUCAUUUCUCUUAGAAAACUGUUGAGUUUGCUAAGAGUGUUUUAACCAGCCCCGCUCUUUUUCUUGUCAUCAAUGCUAGGCCUUCUGGAUAGAGACCUAGAGAGAGAAGCCCCAAGGAUCUUCGUGAAAACCAGUCUGUGGACAAUCCCCAGGCUGCAGAAGAAACACAAGGUCUAAGAGAUCAUGGUUGCAGCAGCUGUCUCUCUGGACUCCCUCCAUGGUCUUAAAAUGGGACUUUCCUGUAUUCUUGGAAGUUCAUAGUUGAAAUUAGACAGAACAUAGAGACAUAGAUUGAAUUUUCUUCAAGUCAUAUUGCACAGACAAAGUCCCGGGAUGAAAGCUCAUUUGUUUCUUCUGGUUCUCUAGUACAAAUAGUCAGCUAGGUCAGCUAGUACCCUGCUCCUUGGAGUAAAUUACUGAAGAAGACAGACAGACAAACACACCACCACCACCACCAUCAACAACAACAACACGGGGAUGGACAAGCCUCCAGCAGUGGAAAGACCAGUGCUCCUCCUUGGUCCAGACUGGUAGAGGAAGAUGGCAUCUUUCCUGAUGUCUAUCAUUUCUUUUGUCCCACUAAAGAGUAGAAUGUGUCCAUGUUUUCUUCAUCUUGAAUCAUCAGUAAAGGAUGCCAUGGGAAUGGACCCCAGCUUUAUGGUUUAGGAAAUUAUAUGUACAGGUCUUGUCUCAGUAACUCAAAGUCCCGAAGCAUUUAAUCUUGGUGCUUCGAUGGCAUUUCUUAUCCAGUGGAAGGGGACCAGGUGCCCCUGCCUCCUUCCUGCUUAUGUAAGGGGCCUCCUGCUACCAUAUUCAGGAGAGGCCAGGUCAGCAGAGUAGUGGGGAGGUCAAACAGAAGCUACCGCCUUCUGGAACUUGAACAUCAUCCUUCUUAGUGGCAUGUGUCAUCCGUGGUGUUCCUCCACCAAGUGAGACUUGUAAUCAAGUGCCAGCUAUGGGUAGAUGUGAGCGUGGGGUUGUAAGUGAGAGCACUGAAUAAAGGAGAUAAUCCAGAGUGAGAGAACA